rnacentral:lncRNA from 1 species
UAGAGUGAAAUGUGCGUUAUAUGCCCAAAUCAAGCAUAAGUGUUUUGGUUCCAUCUCAAUAGAAAGAGGACAACUAAGCUUGGAUUGCACUUUCAGUGUUCAUUCAACCACAAAUGACAAUGCGAAGUGUAAUAAGCCUAAACAAAGCAAAACAGGUUGUUUUGAGUUCCAUCUACAUAGAAAGAGGCAUCUUGGAUUUCACUUAUUUCAAAGUCGUGUUCUUUGGUUUUAAUGCACAUUGACCCAGAAAUCGCAAAUUGUAUGUAAUGAGACCAAAAUAACAAAACACCAUCUUUCCGCUUCCAUAGCAUAGAAAGAAGAAGAAUAAGCUUCGAUUGGGCUCAUUUCAAUUCGCAUGGUGUUUUUUAUGUGUGCACCAGAAUCACCCCAACCAAAGCAAAAAGGUGUUUUGGCUUCGAGCUACAUAAAAAGAAGAUAAUAACACUCUGAUUGGGCUUAUUUCAAAUUGGUGUUUUUGGGGUUAGAAUGCACAUGCACCCAAAAAUCGCAGAGGGAAAUUUUUUAUCAGCACAAAUCAAACAUAGGUGUUUUGAUUCGAUCUCUAUAGAAAGAGGAGGAAUAAGCUUGGAUUGCUCUUUAAGUGUUCAUUCACCCACAGAUAUAAAAUGAAGUGUAAUAAGUCUAAACAAAGCAAAACAGGUUAUUUUGGAUACCAUCUACAUAGAAAGAAGAAUCUUGCAUUUCGCUUAUUUCAAAGUCGUGUUCUUUGGUGUUAAUGCACAUUUACCCAGAAAUCGCAAAGUAUGUAAUGAGACCAAAAUAACAAAACACCAUAUUUCCACUUCCAUAUGCAUAGAAAUAAGACGAAUAAGCUUAUUUCAAUUCGCAUGGUGUUUUUUGGGUGUGCACCAGAAUCACCCCAACCAAAGCAAAAAGGUGUUUUGGCUUCCAGCUACAUAAAAAGAAGAUAAUAACACUCUGAUUGGGCUUAUUUCAAAUUGGUGUUUUGGGGUUUAGAAUGCACAUUCACCCAAAAAUCGUAGAGUGAAAUGUGCAUUAUAAGCCCAAUUCAAGCAUAGGUGUUUUGGUUCCAUCUCAAUAGAAAGAGGACAACUAAGCUUGGGUUGCACUUUUAGUGUUCAUUCACCCACAAAUAAAGCGAAGUGUAAUAAGCCUAAAAUUCGCCUAAACAAAGCAAAACAGGUUAUUUUGUCUUCCAUCUACAUAAAAAGAAGAUGAUAACGCUCCAGUUGGGCUUACUUCAAAUUGGUGUUUUUGGGGUUAGAAUGCACAUUCAACCAAAAAUCGCAGAGUGAAACGUUUUUCAGCCCAAAUCAAGCAUAGGUGUUUUGGUUCCAUCUCAAUAGAAGGAGGACGAAUAAGCUUGGAUUGCACUUUCGGUGUUCAUUCACCCACAAAUAACAAAUCAACGUGUAAUAAGCCUAAACAAAGCUAAACAGGUUGUUUUGAGUUCCAUCUACACAGAAAGAGGCAUCUUGGAUUUCGCUUAUUUCAAAGUCGUGUUCUUUGGUUUUAAUGCACAUUGACCCAGAAAUCGCAAAGUGUAUGUAAUGAGACCAAAAUAACGAAACACCAUAUUUCCCCUUCCAUAUGCGUAGAAAGAAGAAUAAUAAGCUUUGAUUGGGCUUAUUUCAAUACACAGGGUGUUUUUUGGGUGUGCACCAGAAUCAACCUCAACCAAAGAAAAAGGUCUCUUGGCUUCCAUCUACAUAAAAAGAAGAUGAUAACGCUCUGAUUUGGUUUAUUUCAAAUUGGUGUUUUUGGGGUUAGAAUGCACAUUCACCCAAAAAUCGCAGAGGGAAAUUUGUUAUCAGCACAAGUCAAGGAUAGGUGUUUUGAAUCGAUCUCUAUAGAAAGAGGAGGAAUAAGCUUGGAUUGCUCUUUCGGUGUUCAUUCACCCACAAAUAUCAAAGCGACGUGUCAUAAGCCUAAACAAAUUAAAACAGGUUAUUUUGGGUUCCAUCUACAUAGAAAGAAGAAUCUUGGAUGUCGCUUAUUUCAAAGUCGUGUUCUUUGGUGUUAAUGCACAUUUACCCACAAAUCGUAAAGUGUAUGUAAUGAGACCAAAAUAACAAAACACCAUCUUUCCGCUUCCAUAGCGUAGAAAGAAGAAGAAUAAGCUUCGAUUGGGCUUAUUUCAAUUCGCAUGGUGUUUUCUGGUGUGCACCAGAAUCACCCCAACCCAAGCAAAAAGGUGUUUUGGCUUCCAUCUACAUAAAAAGAAGAUAAUAACGCUCUGAUUGGGCUCAUUUCAAAUUGGUGUUUUUGGGUUUAGAAUGCACAUUCACCCAAAAAUCGAAAAGUGAAAUGUGCGUUAUAAGCCCAAUUCAAGCAUAGGUGUUUUGGUUCCAUCUCAAUAGAAGGAGGACGAAUAAGCUUGGAUUGCACUUUCGGUGUUCAUUCACCCACAAAUAACAGAGCGAAGUGUAAUAAGCCUAAACAAAGCAAAACAGGUUAUUUUGGGUUCCAUCUACAUAGAAAGAAGAAUCUUGGAUUUCACUUAUUUCAAAGUCGUUUUCUUUGGUUUUCAUGCACAUUGACCCAGAAAUCGCAAAGUGUAUUUAAUGAGACCAAAAUAACAAAACACCAUCUUUCCGCUUCCAUAGUGUAGAAAGAAGAAGAAUAAGCUUCGAUUGGGCUUAUUUCAAUUCGCAUGGUGUUUUUUGGGUGUGCAGCAGAAUCACCCCAACCAAAGCAAAAAGGUGUUUUGGCUUCCAUCUACAUAAAAAGAAGAUGAUAACGCUCUGAUUGGGCUUAUUUCAAAUUGGUGUUUUUGGGUUUAGAAUGCACAUUCACCCAAAAAUCGAAAAGUGAAAUGUGCGUUAUAAGCCCAAUUCAAGCAUAGGUGUUUUGGUUCCAUCUCAAUAGAAGGAGGACCUUUUGCAUCGGAGUUCCAGUCCUUCGCAACCAGACAACAUGAGCUCUCGGGUCAUCGCAGCUGUCUGCUGUGGGGAGACCGCGUUGUGAUUCCCCAAAGACUCCGUCAACGCGUCCUUCAGGCUCUGCACGUUGGCCACCCAGGAAUUGUCAAAAUGAAGGUGUUGGCUCGGUGUUACGUCUUUUGGCCCAACAUGGACGAUGCCAUCACUGCCUGGGUUUCCACCUGUCAAGCGUGCCAAGUAUUGAGGCCACCGACAGCUAAGGGACACACCUGGGAGACGCCCAAGACACCCUGGUUGAGGGUGCACAUCGAUCUGGACAGCCCCUUUCGUGGCCGGACCUUUAUGGUAGUGGUGGACGCCUAUUCCAAAUGGCUGGAGGUGGCCCUGAUGCCCUCCAUCACUACCGAGGCCGUCAUCUGGGUGCUGCGAGGCCUCUUUGCAACGCAUAGGUGUCCUGAUGUCCUUGUCUCCGACAACGGACCACAGUUCACGUCAGGCACUUUUGAGCGGUACCUUUUGGGACUGGGCAUCCGCCAUGCCCUAACAGCACCAUUUCAUCCAUCCAGCAACGGGCAAGCGGAGAGAAUGGUGCGCUCGGCAAAAGAGGCACUGGGAUGCCUGGACCGGGGAGACUGGCACAAGCAGGUCGCCAAAUACUUGUUCGUGGAACACAUCACCCCUCAUGCGGCCACAGGGCGGAGUCCUGCCGAACUGCUUAUGGGCUGCCGCCUCAGGUCCCCGCUCGACCGGCUGCACCCGGACUUUGCCGUGGCUGAACCCCCAGGCUGUGCCAACGCACCACGGUCAUUUGUUCCAGGAAACCAGGUAUUUGCCCGGAACUUUGUGGGGGACAUUCCUUGGGUGCCAGCCACAGUAGUGGGAGUCACUGGACCUCGCUCGUACCAGGUGGCACUCGAAAAUGGAGGUUUGUGGCGCUGGCACAUAGACCAGCUUAGGCGCAGGGUUGGGGACUUGGACACUACCGUGGUGCCCCCAACUGUGCUCGUGGCUCCGGAACAGACACUUACAGAUGGUGAGGCUCCACCUACACCUCUCUCGCAAACUGCCGGCGUGGAGCCGAACCACUGCCAUCCCUGUCAUUCCGCCAACUCCACUUGCGGAUGUUCCACCCACAGCAGCGGAUCCAGGGGACUUGGUUUCAAUGCCACCUAGGGUCGUGCCACAGCCUCAGCAAGAAUCGGGCAGCCCACCGGACCUGGGUACCGCUCCCCGGCAGUCUGGCAGAGUUUCCAAGCGCUCAACUUAUUUAAAGGACUAUGUUGUUGGACAUGUAACACUGUUGGUCUAAGUAUGUGGAAGUAUGUGAAAUGUAACCGAUAUGCUUUUGUGCCUAAUUGAACCAUUACGUGUAGUGCUGUAUAUAAGGAAACCAUUACGAUUGUAACUAACGCCUUAUCUCGGUGGGGAGGGGUGUUAUGUACUGAAGUUCUCACCCUGGGCCAGCAGGGGGAUACUGUAGAUAGUUAUGCAAAUGAAGGAUCGAAAGUGACAUUCAGUGAUUGGAUAGUUUUAGAAAGUUGUUACAGUAUUCAGUUAUGUCCUGGCCUGUGAAUAAACAAGAGCUGUUUGAAGAA